AGAAAUCAAAGAUCUCAGAAAAUGGAGAGAGCCCCCAUGCUCAUGGAUUGGCAGAAUUAACAUAGUAAAAAUGGUCAUCCUACCAAAGGCAAUCUAUGGAUUCAAUGCAAUCCCCAUCAAAAUCCCAACACAAUUCUUCAAAGACAUGGAAAGAACAAUUCUCAAAUUCAUCUGGAAAGGCAAAAAACCCAGAAAAGCAAAAAUAAUUCUUAAUAAUAAAAGAAUGGCUGGGGGAAUCAUCAUUCUUGACCUCAAGCUCUACUUCAAAGCAAUAGUGAUAAAAACUACCUGGUAUUGGUACAGAGACAGGCAAGUUAAUGAAUGAAACAGAAUUGAAGACCCAGAAAUAAAACCACACACGUACACACACUUGAUCUCUGACAAAGAAGCCAAAAAUAUACAAUGGAUAAAAGAGAGCAUCUUCGAUAAAUGGUGCUGGUCUAAGUGGAUGUCUGUAUGUAGAAAAAUGAAACUAGACCCAUAUUUGUCACCAUGCACAAAGCUCAAGUCCAAGUGGGUCAAGAACCUCAACAUAAAACCAGAUGCCCUAAAUACAAUAGAAGAAAAAGUGGGAAAGAGCCUUGAACUCAUUGGCACAGGCAGAAUUUUCCUAAACGGAACUCCAAUGGCUCACACUCUAAGAUCAAGAAUUGAUAAAGAAAAUGUGGUUCAUUUACUCAGCUAUUAAGAACGAGGACAUCCUGAGUUUUGCAGGCAAAUGGAUAGAACUAGAAAAUGUCAUCCCAAGUGACAUAGCUCAGAUCCAAAAAGAAUUGCAUGGUAUGUUCUCACUAAUAAGUGGAUAGAAACAGUGGGAAAUGCUGCAGAAGACGGAGAUUCUUAGUUUAUAAGAAUACCAGAAUAUGCUAAUUACGAAGAUUAACCCCUCUGCCCUCCUUUUUUUUUUUCAUCAUGAUAAAUGCAAAGCCUACAAAAGCAAGGAAUAUUUUUGGGAGGCACACCAAGUGUAAAGUGUAGGUGAGUACUUUGCUUACAAAGGAGAAAGUUAAGCCACACUUAUAAAAGACCAGCAACAUCUUUUUUUUUUUAAUCUUCACUCUAUACUAGGGAAUUAGACUGAGAAGAAAAAAAUGUAACACCUUCAGUCAUAUUAUCAAAAAGUGACCUUCUCCGUCCACUAUCUCUGGGGCACAGCCCAUCUCCCAGUAAGGUUGCUGUCCCAGCUAAACGCAGAAAUGUAGUUAGGAAAAACUAAUUAACCAUUGGAAGGCACAUGGAAAAUCAAUAGAAGAAUAGAGUGACCUCCUUCUGCUUGUGGGCUCCUGUCCUCUCUUCCCAAGGGAAGGCAGAAUGAACAUCCAUACUGUGAAGAGUGAAGACGCCACCGUCAUCACCUUCCUCAUCUCUACAACGUGUCAUCACCAUGAAGGGGAGUCCACCCACAGCUGUGGUCACGGGUGUCACAGAGCAUCGCAGAACUG
rnacentral:lncRNA from 1 species